rnacentral:misc_RNA from 1 species
UACGAUUUCGCGUUUUCUCAGAGCUUCAAUGCUUCUAUACAGGGUUGUAUCAACGUCCCUGGCGGCGGGCAGUCCGCCGCCAGGGACGUUGAUACAACCCUGUAUAGAAGCAUUGAAGCUCUGAGAAAACGCGAAAUCGUACAACUUUCAACAAUGGAUCUCUUGGUUCUGGCAUCGAUGAAGAACGCAGCGAAAUGCGAUAAGUAGUGUGAAUUGCAGAAUUCAGUGAAUCAUCGAAUCUUUGAACGCACAUUGCGCCCCUUGGCAUUCCAUGGGGCAUGCCUGUUCGAGCGUCAUCUAAACCCUCAAGCCCCCGGCUUGGUGUUGGGUGCCUGUCCCCGCUCCCCGCGCGGACUCACCCCAAAUGCAUUGGCAGCCGCCUCUCGGCUUCUUGCGCAGCACAGUGCGCAGCGAGGCGAGGUGAGGAGCGGGGCCGGGCGGGCGAGCGCACGCGGCCUCGUUUCUUG